rnacentral:tRNA from 1 species
AUCUCUUGAGUAUGCUAAAGUACAUUUGCCUUCCAAGUAAAAAGAUUAAUAAAAUUUAAAAGAGAUACCA